rnacentral:rRNA from 1 species
AACGAACGCUGGCGGCAGGCCUAACACAUGCAAGUCGAGCGCCCUUUCGGGGGAGCGGCGGACGGGUGAGUAACGCGUGGGAAUAUGCCCUUCUCUACGGAAUAGCCUCGGGAAACUGAGAGUAAUACCGUAUACGCCCGAUGGUGGAAAGAUUUAUCGGGGAAGGAUUAGCCCGCGUUGGAUUAGGUAGUUGGUGGGGUAAUGGCCUACCAAGCCGACGAUCCAUAGCUGGUUUGAGAGGAUGAUCAGCCACACUGGGACUGAGACACGGCCCAGACUCCUACGGGAGGCAGCAGUGGGGAAUCUUAGACAAUGGGGGCAACCCUGAUCGAGCCAUGCCGCGUGAGUGAUGAAGGCCUUAGGGUUGUAAAGCUCUUUCAGCUGGGAAGAUAAUGACGGUACCAGCAGAAGAAGCCCCGGCUAACUCCGUG